CAGAGGGGGCAAGCGUUAUUCGGAAUUAUUGGGCGUAAAGGGCGUGUAGGCGGCUUUGCAAGUGGCGGGUGAAAUCCCUCGGCUUAACCGAGGAACUGCCUGCCAGACUGUGAGGCUUGAGACCGGGAGAGGUGAGUGGAAUUCCCAGUGUAGCGGUGAAAUGCGUAGAUAUUGGGAGGAACACCAGUGGCGAAGGCGGCUCACUGGACCGGUACUGACGCUGAGGCGCGAAAGCGUGGGGAGCAAACAGGAUUAGAUACCCUGGUAGUCCACGCCGUAAACGAUGAGUGCUUGGUGUAGCGGGUAUCGACCCCUGCUGUGCCGACGUCAACACAUUAAGCACUCCGCCUGGGGAGUACGGUCGCAAGACUG
rnacentral:rRNA from 1 species